UUAUAAGAAAUGAAUAUAUGCACAGAUUAUGAUUAGAUUCCCCAUUCUCAUUAUCUCAGUUAUACUUCAACAACACACACAGUUCUCUUUGUUUGUUCAAAUAUCAAUUUAGUGCAGAUCUGUUAUGCUUCUUGAUCUGCAGUUAUUCAAUGGUGGUUCAGUAUCAAUGGAGAUCAGUUGUGGGACUUGUUCAGCUGAUGGUUCGAUUGUGAUUUCAACAUCAUAGAAGUAUUGAAGAUCUUGUUAAUUUAUUCGUUUUGUAUUGUUGAAGAUCUUGAGGAUCUUCAUAUUUUGGUCUUUCCGUAUCCUUUUGUUUACCAGAGUAUGAUCUGGUUGUUUGUUGAUCCUAGUCUUGUUAUUUGACAUUUCUUUCUAUGAUCAACAGAUAUUUUAUCUGUUGAUCCUGUAAAUUGUAUAUGUUGUUUUAGAUCUUACAUAUGUAAGAUCUAGGGUUUGGGGGGAGUUUUUUGGUUUGGGUUAAAUAAUAAAGAUUUUGUCACCGUUUUGUCGCUUCUCUUGUGUUUUCUGUUAUUCUUUGUGAUUCAUAUCGAAUAUUCAUACUAUUUGACAUGGUAUCAGAGCCUAGGCUCUGAUCUGAUCUAUGGUCGAUAUUGAUUCUGGUGUUCUUCCGCUGUAGUUUUUUGACGAUUUUUUUUAGGUUUGUAGAUCUGGAUCCCUUGAUUGCUUUUUCUCUAUUUCUUGACAGUGUUUUUUUUUGUAUUCAUUGUGAGCUCUCGUAUGAUUCUUUUCUUGUAAUGAUUACGGCAGUUAUUGUGUUGUUAAUCUGCAGCUAGAUUUGUGAUAGUUUUCUUUGUAGCUGGUUCAUAGAUCUGUUGAUCUUAAGUGUUGAUUGUCAAGGUUUUGUGUAUAGAGGAUAGUUCUUGUUAUUGGUCUUUAAGUUUAAGAGAUUUAAGUGCUACGGAUUAGGUUUUUGUAGUUUGAGUUCUCGUGUUUUGGAUCUGAAUCUAUUUUUUUUAUUUUAUUAGUGUCUGUUCUGUUUUGAUCCUUUGCUUGAAGUGUGCAGGUUGGAUCUGGUGAGAUCUUUUUGAUUGUUGACUGUAGCUAAUCUGAUCUAUAGUUUGGAGUUAGGGUUUCUGUUCUCAGAAACCGGUUGGGUUAUUAUACGUGUGAUACUGAAGUUGUAACCCUAGAUCAAAGGUUUGUUGCGGUUAAAAGUGCUGUGAAGACUCUGCGUUGGUCUUUAUAAUCGCUUGUUGAUUAUAGGGCAAACUGACCAGAAGUUUGUAUAUUUCUUGCUGAUCUGUAAUAUUGUAAUCCUAGAAGAUUACAUACUCAGAUUCUUUUGAAGGGAGUUAUAAGCACCUACUUGUGUGGCUCCUGUAUAAAGACCUGUCCAGGCACUAUGAGUGAUGAACCUGGAAUCUGGACACUGUUAUUCAAUGGUGGUUCAGUAUCAAUGGAGAUCAGUUGUGGGACUUGUUCAGCUGAUGGUUCGAUUGUGAUUUCAACAUCAUAGAAGUAUUGAAGAUCUUGUUAAUUUAUUCGUUUUGUAUUGUUGAAGAUCUUGAGGAUCUUCAUAUUUUGGUCUUUCCGUAUCCUUUUGUUUACCAGAGUAUGAUCUGGUUGUUUGUUGAUCCUAGUCUUGUUAUUUGACAUUUCUUUCUAUGAUCAACAGAUAUUUUAUCUGUUGAUCCUGUAAAUUGUAUAUGUUGUUUUAGAUCUUACAUAUGUAAGAUCUAGGGUUUGGGGGGAGUUUUUUGGUUUGGGUUAAAUAAUAAAGAUUUUGUCACCGUUUUGUCGCUUCUCUUGUGUUUUCUGUUAUUCUUUGU
rnacentral:lncRNA from 1 species